UUUUGGGGGGGGGGGGGGGUCCUGAUUGAUGAAAGCUACAGGGAAUUACUGGAUUUGCAUUGCAAGGUCACCUUAUUGAGCGACAAAGGCAGAAGAGCUAAAUUUUUACAGCUGGAGCAUAAUUGAGGGAGUAAGUAAAGCAGAGUGUAUAUAUUAAUAUGUAAAUAUAUCAUUUAUCUUUAAAAUAUUGCUUCUAGAUUAUUCCAGGAUCACAUACGAUGAUUGAGGUAUGCAUACAUAGGCAGUAUUGUUACUCCCUCUUUUUGAUGUAUGAGAUUGUAUAUAGAUCUGUAAGAUCUUGUAAUGCUGCCCCCACCCACAGGCUAGAAGUUGCUGUGGGGUUGAGGAAUCUUGCUGAGGAAAUAUAGUGAGCAGAUCAGUUUAUAGCAUUCUAUUCUCUCUUCUGAGUUUGUCCUGGAGUGUUGACUGGCUGACUUUUUAAUCUCCACUCAGAAUUGUGGAUCAAAGAUUAAUAAAAAAUGGAGAUCACAUUGUAUUUUGCAUUUAGGGCUUUUGGCUGGGAGAUAAUUCAGUUUUGAACAGUUUAUUAAUGUCUCAAAUUCUACGUAGGUUCAUGUUUAUGGAUUACAAUUGAGUAAAGGCUACAAUGAUAAUUCAAUAAGCUAAAUUACAGAUUCAAGUAACCAACUCUCACCAUGAUCUCACGAAUCCGCAUUUCUAAUGCAGUAAAUCCUUAAUAAAUUAAUAAUCCAUUAUUCUAUGAAAAUUUUCUUUAUCAUUAAUCUGGAAAUUGUGAUAUUCAUAACAGCCAAAAAAAUGGACGGGGGAUGUAAUGUGCUUAGUCAAUUAUGUAGCCAUUAAGACUAAGUAGUCAAAGGUUUCAUGCCUUAAAACUCUAUGCACAAUUUCUUUAUGAUAAGCUAAAAAGUGUGUAUAUUGUAUACGAUUGAUGCAUCUAGAGAUUGUCUUUUCCUCAUUUAGUUAAACAUAAUUCUUCGCAAGAACUCUACUCAAGUGACCCAAAAAAUAACACAUCAAUCGCUUUUUAUUUGAAAGGUGUUAUGAAACCAAUUGUGUUCAUUUGAUCACUAAUUGUGUUUGAAGUUGCACAAAGAUUAUCGUACGGUUGAACACAAAGUUCCAGCUCAACACUGAAUGCAAAACUCAGAAGUCUAGCUACCACGGAUUAGGAACGACCCAGAAGGGAAGUGGUUCAAUCUUCAAUCUAUGAUAAUGAUCAUCAAAAUAUUGGGGCCCCAGGAGACAACCCUUAUCAUGACCACCAAAAGAGGGAUUGUUGUAAAUUGAUUCCCCAGAAUCGUCAUCCGUAAAGUAGAUUAAACUGUUUCUUAUUCUGAAAGAAUCUUUGGUGGAGACUGACAGUCAGUGAUUUCCACCCAGAAAGUAAACACGAUCUCGGCAGUCAUGGCUACGGAUUCAAGGUAAGUUUUUCUACUUUGUUUGAACUCAAAACCCAUCUUCCAAAUUCUGAAUUUCGUUGUCCUGUGUACAGAUCCUAAAUUUGAAACAUAAGAGUUGGUGGGGGGUGCGCCAGGCCCGUGCCGUAGUGCAACGCAUGGGCGACGCUCAGGGCUCACAGUAGCAAGCUACUGCAAUGAGCCCUCCCCUUUAAAAAUUAAUUUAAUAUCGUGUGGAUCG
rnacentral:lncRNA from 1 species